ACACGUAUGAAAGACAAGCUGAAAGACUUUUCUCAAUGAUGUAAGUGGUGGUGCAUGGUCGUUCUUAGUUCGUGGAGUGGUUUGUCUGGUCUAUUCCGAUAACGAGCGAGACCCCGGCGUUCCUAAUAGGGGCAGCAGCCCGGCUUGCCCGGCCCUCACGGGCUGGGCUCGCUAGCAGCUGCCUCAAACUAUGCUUCUUAGACGUAUCAGAGCCGAUAAGGUUCUUGAAAUGGGUUAAUAACAGGUCAGUCAUGCCCUUAGAUGUUCUGGGCCGCACGCGCGUUACAAUGGCAUGCUUAGAGAGUGCUCAAAAGGGCGUAUCCGCGGCCUACAGGCCGCGGUAACCCCUAGUCCCUGCCUUGACUGGGACAGACUAUUGCAAUUAUUGGUCUCGAACGAGGAAUUUUUAGUAGUCGCAGGUCAUUAACCUGCGACGA
rnacentral:rRNA from 1 species